UACAGAGGCCUCGAGCGUUAGGCGGAAUCACUGGGCUUAAAGCGCGUGUAGGCGGAUCGUUAAGUACCUUGUGAAAUCCCACGGCUCAACCGUGGAACUGCUGGGUAUACUGGCGGUCUUGGGCCACUCAGGGGUUGCCGGAACAAACGGUGGAGCGGUGAAAUGCGUAGAUAUCGUCUGGAACGCCGAAGGUGAAAACAGCUCGCUGGGGCUGCGCUGACGCUGAGACACGAAAGCCAGGGGAGCGAACGGG
rnacentral:rRNA from 1 species